UUCGGGUGUUAGUUCAGGCAUAUCUGGAAAUGUAAGGUGGUACUUGGUAAUAUCAUGGGCCUGCUGUCAUGGUUUGGUGGCCUUUGUUCUCUGGGACACUCUGGAGCUGAUGCCAGGCUCAUCAGCCAUAGCGAAGGAAAUUCUGUCAUCACCCCUCCCUGAACACCCGCUCCUCCCCUCAUUUUCCAUUCCCCAUUUGCCAUUGUUGAUGGCGUCUAGAAAGAUGCAGAGGUUCCUGCUCUCCUGGCCUGGUAGACGUACAGGAUGGUAGUGCAGGCACGAGGUUAUCUGCUUUGGCCUUAUUUGAAAAAUGAAAAAAAA